rnacentral:rRNA from 1 species
UUGAAAGGGAAACGAUUGAAGUAGUGUGUGGGGAAAUNNNUUGUUUGAGAUAAUGNGUGGGAGNUAAANNGUAGAAGGUGAAUUUGGUGAAAUGGAGAUUUGUGUCGUGGUUAAAUAAUUNGAAGUAUAAAAAGGUGGAGGGAUGUGGUNUUGGGAGUGUUAUAACUUUAGGGAAUGUGGUGUUGGGAUUGAGGAUUGAAGAAUANUUUAGGGCUGUUAANUGGUUUUUUGGUAUCCUGGUGACGAAGNUGCUGACGUCGUUAGGAUUCGCCUUUGAACAGGUUAGAGUGUGAGCAAAUUCGUUAAGGAUGUUGACGUA